UCAACUGUGUGCAGCGCUAUUCCUUCAUGCCGAAGUCCAGAUUUCCCCCCCAACCCCCCUCAGGCAGCCAGGCAUGUCUACAAAAGUCAAAAGAAAUAUUUUCUGCCACGAGCAAUCGAGACAAACCGCCUACAGAAGUAGCAGCGCUGACAGCUCUUGUCUGAUUACAUGCUUAGCGGGAAGGAUUUUGCUCAAACACGCGGAGGAAUGGAAAUGAGAUCUUCACAGCAAAGACAGGGAGCGAGCUAUCAGUUGUACACCCAGAAGUACAACUGCGGUCCUAAGAAUUCGUGACAAUGAGAGACAGUCUGUCCCGCUUGCUUUCGGAGCUACUGGUGAUAAAUGAGAGCGGAGGAAAAAGUAAAAGGCGCUCACAACCACUUUGGGUUACUGAAGACUUGAGAAGAGGAUGAGAAACUCUAAAGAUUUCUGCUGCAGUCGUUACUGAGGCAGCUUAUAGGGAUGAUAAUUGUAAGUAAUAAUCUGGACUAUUCCCACGCACUGACAAAUACUAAAUGCCUUUGCCAUUUGCAGAAAAAAGAAGGCAAGCGUCAGUGGGUACUAAAAUAAAAGCCAUCUGCUCAAAGCACGGUAAGGACAAAAAGAAGACUCGGGACAAAUAAAAAAAAAAAGACUGACUAAAAAAUAGAGGAGGCGAGUUCAGUAGCGUAACAGCUCCCAUGUGCAUAUAAUGGCUAUGCCU